UUAAGCGACUAAGCGUACACGGUGGAUGCCCUGGCAGUCAGAGGCGAUGAAGGACGUGCUAAUCUGCGAAAAGCGUCGGUAAGGUGAUAUGAACCGUUACAGCCGGCGAUGUCCGAAUGGGGAAACCCAGUGCAAUUCGUUGCACUAUCGUUAACUGAAUACAUAGGUUAACGAGGCGAACCGGGGGAACUGAAACAUCUAAGUACCCCGAGGAAAAGAAAUCAACCGAGAUUCCCCCAGUAGCGGCGAGCGAACGGGGAGCAGCCCAGAGUCUGAAUCAGCUUGUGUGUUAGUGGAACGGUCUGGAAAGUCCGACGGUACAGGGUGAUAGUCCCGUACACCAAAAUGCACAGGCUGUGAACUCGAAGAGUAGGGCGGGACACGUGGUAUCCUGUCUGAAUAUGGGGGGACCAUCCUCCAAGGCUAAAUACUCCUGACUGACCGAUAGUGAACCAGUACCGUGAGGGAAAGGCGAAAAGAACCCCGGCGAGGGGAGUGAAAAAGAACCUGAAACCGUGUACGUACAAGCAGUGGGAGCACCUUCGGGUGUGACUGCGUACCUUUUGUAUAAUGGGUCAGCGACUUAUAUUCUGUAGCAAGGUUAACCGUAUAGGGGAGCCGCAGGGAAACCGAGUCUUAACUGGGCGUUAAGUUGCAGGGUAUAGACCCGAAACCCGGUGAUCUAGCCAUGGGCAGGUUGAAGGUUGGGUAACACUAACUGGAGGACCGAACCGACUAAUGUUGAAAAAUUAGCGGAUGACUUGUGGCUGGGGGUGAAAGGCCAAUCAAACCGGGAGAUAGCUGGUUCUCCCCGAAAGCUAUUUAGGUAGCGCCUCGUGAACUCAUCUUCGGGGGUAGAGCACUGUUUCGGCUAGGGGGUCAUCCCGACUUACCAACCCGAUGCAAACUACGAAUACCGAAGAAUGUUAUCACGGGAGACACACGGCGGGUGCUAACGUCCGUCGUGAAGAGGGAAACAACCCAGACCGCCAGCUAAGGUCCCAAAGUCACAGUUAAGUGGGAAACGAUGUGGGAAGGCACAGACAGCCAGGAUGUUGGCUUAGAAGCAGCCAUCAUUUAAAGAAAGCGUAAUAGCUCACUGGUCGAGUCGGCCUGCGCGGAAGAUGUAACGGGGCUAAACUGUGCACCGAAGCUGCGGCAGCGACACUAUGUGUUGUUGGGUAGGGGAGCGUUCUGUAAGCCUGCGAAGGUGGCCUGUGAGGGUUGCUGGAGGUAUCAGAAGUGCGAAUGCUGACAUAAGUAACGAUAAUGCGGGUGAAAAGCCCGCACGCCGGAAGACCAAGGGUUCCUGUCCAACGUUAAUCGGGGCAGGGUGAGUCGACCCCUAAGGCGAGGCCGAAAGGCGUAGUCGAUGGGAAACAGGUUAAUAUUCCUGUACUUGGUGUUACUGCGAAGGGGGGACGGAGAAGGCUAUGUUAGCCGGGCGACGGUUGUCCCGGUUUAAGCAUGUAGGCGGAGGUUCCAGGUAAAUCCGGUACCUUUUUAACGCUGAGGUGUGAUGACGAGGCACUACGGUGCUGAAGUAACAAAUGCCCUGCUUCCAGGAAAAGCCUCUAAGCAUCAGGUAACAUUAAAUCGUACCCCAAACCGACACAGGUGGUCAGGUAGAGAAUACCAAGGCGCUUGAGAGAACUCGGGUGAAGGAACUAGGCAAAAUGGUGCCGUAACUUCGGGAGAAGGCACGCUGAUAUGUAGGUGAAGCCCCUGCGGGUGGAGCUGAAAUCAGUCGAAGAUACCAGCUGGCUGCAACUGUUUAUUAAAAACACAGCACUGUGCAAACACGAAAGUGGACGUAUACGGUGUGACGCCUGCCCGGUGCCGGAAGGUUAAUUGAUGGGGUUAUCCGUAAGGAGAAGCUCUUGAUCGAAGCCCCGGUAAACGGCGGCCGUAACUAUAACGGUCCUAAGGUAGCGAAAUUCCUUGUCGGGUAAGUUCCGACCUGCACGAAUGGCGUAAUGAUGGCCAGGCUGUCUCCACCCGAGACUCAGUGAAAUUGAACUCGCUGUGAAGAUGCAGUGUACCCGCGGCAAGACGGAAAGACCCCGUGAACCUUUACUAUAGCUUGACACUGAACAUUGAGCCUUGAUGUGUAGGAUAGGUGGGAGGCUUUGAAGCGUGGACGCCAGUCUGCGUGGAGCCAACCUUGAAAUACCACCCUUUAAUGUUUGAUGUUCUAACGUUGGCCCCUGACCGGGGUUGCGGACAGUGUCUGGUGGGUAGUUUGACUGGGGCGGUCUCCUCCCAAAGAGUAACGGAGGAGCACGAAGGUUAGCUAAUCCUGGUCGGACAUCAGGAGGUUAGUGCAAUGGCAUAAGCUAGCUUGACUGCGAGCGUGACGGCGCGAGCAGGUGCGAAAGCAGGUCAUAGUGAUCCGGUGGUUCUGAAUGGAAGGGCCAUCGCUCAACGGAUAAAAGGUACUCCGGGGAUAACAGGCUGAUACCGCCCAAGAGUUCAUAUCGACGGCGGUGUUUGGCACCUCGAUGUCGGCUCAUCACAUCCUGGGGCUGAAGUAGGUCCCAAGGGUAUGGCUGUUCGCCAUUUAAAGUGGUACGCGAGCUGGGUUUAGAACGUCGUGAGACAGUUCGGUCCCUAUCUGCCGUGGGCGCUGGAGAAUUGAGGGGGGCUGCUCCUAGUACGAGAGGACCGGAGUGGACGCAUCACUGGUGUUCGGGUUGUCAUGCCAAUGGCAUUGCCCGGUAGCUAAAUGCGGAAGAGAUAAGUGCUGAAAGCAUCUAAGCACGAAACUUGCCCCGAGAUGAGUUCUCCCUGAGACUUUAAGUCUCCUGAAGGAACGUUAAAGACGAUGACGUUGAUAGGUCGGGUGUGUAAGCGUAGCGAUACGUUGAGCUAACCGAUACUAAUGAACCGUGAGGCUUAACCUU
rnacentral:rRNA from 1 species